UCAAGAGAGUGAGCUCGACCCAAGCUGAACCGCACCGAGAUCAAGCCAUGACAGUCCUGGCCUUUGGCGCCGCCGCUACCUGGCCGGAGGCCGUCGUCCAGUGCCUCCUCUUCGUCCUCGCCGCGGGUAUGCUCGUGGCCCUCCACUCCCUCCCCCGCCGAGUUGCCCAUCGUCUCCGCCGCGGCGCCAGCGGCUCCUCGGCCGCUCAAUCGCGCCGGCACUUCGCGCUGGGUGCCCAGCUUCUCGCCCGCGCGCGAGCCGCUGCUCCGAAGCCCCCGGGCCCGCUCGCCCGCGCAGCCCUCGCCGAGGCCGACCGCGCCAUCGCGCUCGACCCCCGCGACGCAGCGCCGCUGAUCCUCAAGGCCCUCGCCCUCGACCUCCAGGGUCACCGCCUCCCCGCGCUGCGCACCCUCGACGUCGCCUUGGCGCCGCCGCUCGCGCGAUCCCUGGAACCGCGGGAGCGCGGGGACGCGCUCGCCAAGCGCGCCGAGAUCGCGCUAGCGCUUAACCGCCGCCGCCGCCUCGACCAGGCCGCCGCGGAUCUCACCGAGGCCGUGCGCCUUAGCCCCGAGAACCCCCGCGCUCAUGCUCUGCUUGGUGAGUGCUACGAGAGGAAGGGCCUCACUGCCGAAGCCAGGAACUCCUUCAGGACCGCCGCGUCAAUCGACCCAUCUCUGGCUACUGCGCACGACGGCCUCCGUCGGACAGGCGCAGGCAGCGAAGUCAACGAGAGUGACUGAUGACUCGUUUUUAUAUUGUUAUAUAUUUGGGGGUGGAACGAACGAUCCCCUUCAAGACCAAAUAUGGACCCUACUGAACCAGUAUCUAUAUCAUAUAAGGAAGAUACCGAUUCAGUUAUCAGACGGUAGAACUACUUCGAGCACCAGAUGGAUGAAUGGCUGUGAUCCAUUUUACUUACAGUCGCAUUUACUUCAGUUGAUACUGUUUUACUCUGAACUUUCACUAGUCAUUGUUUAUCUUCCUCACCGUUGUAACUUGUAAGCCAGGCUGGCUAUAUGUAUUCUGUUCGAUGCUUGAAUGAGUAGUAAGAAAGGAGGUAAACUAAUUUCUCUAGUGUACUGUAGCUAGAUUUUGCUCCUCCUUCAGGCAAGAUUCCUCGUUCAAUCCCUUAAUCGGGGAAGAACCUAUCCAAAAUUCCCCACUUGCGUCUCAGUCCUUACAUGACUCCCUCUGAUCCUACUCACAUUUCUGUUGACAUGAUCCCAUUUUAUCCUAUGAAGGAGAAAACCGGUGCAUGAAUCAUGCAUUUUCUUUAACCUUGACCAUACAGAAGGUCAGAAAGAGCAUGUUUGCAUAGUUACUGUACUACUACCUCCAUUCCAAAAUUUAAGGCGUUUUGGUAGACUAGUUUAGCCUGCCAAAACGUCUUAUAUUUUAGAACGGAGGUAGUACAAAUUAAUGCCUACAUGCAUCCUGGCAGUAUUUCAACAGGUCUGGCAGUUCAUUUCUUUGCUAGCACGGACGAUCUCUGUUAUCUGCGCUACAAA